GGGCCGGCGCCGCCGGGGUCUGGGGUGGUCCCGCGAGUCUGCAUGUUGCUCCGGGACGCAGGGGCUGCGCCCAGAAACAUUAUUUUUCUUCUCCGGGAGGGUGAUCGUUUACAGCAUUGAUUUCCCAGAUCUGGUAACAUGGCAAAAGUUGCCGGUCUAAUUGAAGCCAACGGAGAACUCAAGGUCUUCAUAGAUCAGAACCUUAGUCCGGGAAAAGGCGUUGGUGUCCCUUGUGACAGUUCACUCCUCCAUUGUCAACCCGCUCGGGAAGCAGCUCUUGCCGAAAACCUUUGUACAGUUCAAUGUCAACAUUGCCCAGCAAGUGGUAACCGGUACACCUCAGAAACCGGCAGCGUCAAAUAUCCUCGUGGUAGGAAGCCCACACACAGCCAGCACUCACUUUACCUCUCAGAACCAGCCGUGGUUGGUCUGCCGCGAAGCGCAACAGGAAAGGAGAAAAGAAUAGCAAGGCCUGUGGCAUUUCUCCAUGAAGGUCUGAGACAAGGUGCAGUGGAAAGGGACCACUUCCUACCACGAAGUGGUGGAAGAGCUGGUCGCAGAGUUCAGUGCUGCCGGCAACCAGAUCUUACCAAGUGAGUCAGCUUAUGACCAGAAUAAGACGGCGCAUCUAUGAUGCCUUAAACGUGCUGAUGGCCAUGAACAUCAUCUCCAAGGAGAAAAAGGAGAUCAAGUGGGUUGGUCUGCCCACCAACUCGACUCAGGAAUGUCAGAACUUAGAGGUGGAAAGACGGAGGAGACUUGACAGAAUAAAACAGAAAAUCUCAAUUUCAGGUUUUUUAUUCGACAGCAAAUUGCCUUCAAGAAUCUGGUGAAGAGAGAAACCAGCAAGAGGAGCAGCAGGCCAGCCGGCCAAGGACGCCCAGCUCGCUCAUCCACCUGCCCUCAUCAUCAUUAACACCAGCAAGAAGACCGUCAUCGACUGCAACAUCUCCAACGACAAACUCGAGUAUCUGUUUAAAUUUGACAACACAUCUGAAAUAUAGGAUGACAUAGAAGUGCUGAAGCGGAUGAGCACGGCUUGUGGGCUGGAGUCCGGAAGCUGCUCUGCCGAAGACCUUAAAAUGGCCAGAAGUCUGGUCUCAGAGGCCCUGGAGCUGUACGUGACAGAAAUGGCUCAGGGAACUAACUGUUGGAGGCGUGUUCAUCACGACGGCACGUUCCAUGUCUAACGGCACGAAACUCUCUGCCAGUGACCUGACCAACGGUGCAGAUGGGAUGCUGGCCACAAGCUCCAACCUCAGUACGGUGUCCUGCGUCCGGGAGAAUGACGAGGAUGACGACUUCAACGAGAACAACGAGGAUGACUGACGUCCUCUCCACUUCACAUUCAGCUUCAAGAAAACGUUUAGGGAAAAGAAACUUUUUUUUUUUAAUGUGGGUUUUCUGUUUCCUUUUGGCCUACUCCUAAGAAGAUAUUGGUAAGCCGUUGAAUUUAGAUAUGCACCUCCGAUAAGCAAGGAUUGUUUCACGUAGGAGUAAGACAUGCUGUGGAUGUGUGUUUUGAUACCAGUGUGCUGAUGAGGGGCAUUUAUUUACUUUUUAGGAUUUUGUGUUUUUUCAUUUUCUGUUUUUCUUUAAGUGCAGACUUAUUUUUUGCCCCUUAACGGUUUUUGCUGAGUUUGCUGAAGAAAUUGUAUUUCAUCCUCAUACAUGAAAAUAAAACGCCCUCCUGUUGUGGAUGGUGAGCACCGAAUGCCAUUUAUUUGCCGUGAGUCUGGACAGCACCCACGCUGGCAGAGAGUGAGACUCUGCGGAGUUGUCCAUUUGUUCAGUGGCACGGUGUCCAAGAGCCCCAAGCAAACAGCAGAAUUCGACUUUCUAAACAAUAAACACCAUCAACCUUACUGACUUUAUUCUCCCUUAAAUUAUAUUGACUGUUGUGAUUCCAUCAAGUUUAUACACUCUUUUCUCUCCCUAUUUUGCAGCAACAAAUUGCAAAGUGUUUUUGUUUGUUUUUGUUUUGUUUGGUUAAAGCUUAUUGCCACGCUGGUGCGGCUAUGGAGACUGUCUAGCAGGCUUGGAAGACUUGGAAUGGUUUAUUGCUUAUGGUAAAAUUUGCCUGAUUUCUUACAGGCAGCGUUUGAAACCCUUUUAUUAUAUAGUUGUUUACAUACUUACAAGUCUAUCAUUUAAAGACACGUACUGAAACAAAUGUUGUGUUUGUUUCAUAAGCAUCUUCUGUAAUCUAUUAUAAAAUUGAAAUUAAAUAUAGGGAAUGUUUUAACAAUUUUUAACUCAAAAUAUGCCAGUCAUUUUUAAUAGUUCUUUUUUUAUAUAAAAAGACAAAUUUAAGGACAGGCAGUAGUCUCUUAAAAUUUAUUCACAAAACCCAUUAACUGCACAUUAGCUACCUGUUCUAGAAUGAGUCUUUUUAUUGAAACACAAACUUUUCUGCGAUAUUUUAUGGAAUAAAAAAAGACUUUCAUUGUUUGACUUGUUUAACUUGA